UACGUAGGGUGCAAGCGUUAAUCGGAAUUACUGGGCGUAAAGCGUGCGCAGGCGGUUUUGUAAGUCUGUCGUGAAAUCCCCGGGCUCAACCUGGGAAUUGCGAUGGAGACUGCAAGGCUAGAAUCUGGCAGAGGGGGGUAGAAUUCCACGUGUAGCAGUGAAAUGCGUAGAUAUGCGGAGGAACACCGAUGGCGAAGGCAAUCCCCUGGACCUGCACUGACGCUCAUGCACGAAAGCCGUGGGGAGCAAACAGG
rnacentral:rRNA from 1 species